rnacentral:rRNA from 1 species
GUCUAGGCCACACCACCCUGAACGCGCCCCAUCUCCUCUGAUCUUAUGAAGCUAAGCAGGGUCGGGCCUGUUCGUACUUGGAUGGAUUCCGCCUGGGAAUAGCGGGUACCGUAGGCU